rnacentral:rRNA from 1 species
UACGUAGGGGGCUAGCGUUGUCCGGGAUCAUUGGGCGUAAAGAGCGUGUAGGCGGUCCGGUAAGUCCGCUGUGAAAGUCGGGGGCUCAACCCUCGGAUGCCGGUGGAUACUGUCGAGCUUGAGUACGGAAGAGGCGAGUGGAAUUCCUGGUGUAGCGGUGAAAUGCGCAGAUAUCAGGAGGAACACCAAUUGCGAAGGCAGCUCGCUGGGACGUUACUGACGCUGAGACGCGAAAGCGUGGGGAGCGAACAGG